CUGCAUUCACUGAGGAAUCUAUUAUAGAUUAUUUUUGUACAUUGUACAUUAUUUUUAAACUAAAGACAUAUAUGUUCAAGCAACAGUGCUGUUCUGAGAUGUUACUUGCAAGCUCUGGAGCAACUUCUCAGACUUCUCUGGCGUGGUGUUUGCGCUGCCCUGGCUGAGGUGUAUCCCUGUUGCUCGGCCAUGUCACUUCCUAGUGGGUCACAUCUAUGAACAAUGAGAUGAGUCUUCUAGCAGGUGGGCAAUGAGGGGCGUCUGCCUAUAUAUUACUCUGUUUGUGUAAGCUAACUGGCUUAUACUUAACAACUGGCAGACUGAUUCCAGGUCAAUAGUAAAAGGCUGCUUCCUUGUUCUCACACCCCAGGGCAGUCAACACACACAGAUCUGCACAAUUCUCCCUGAAGUCUCAACACAGAGCUGGGAAACACUGCCUGUACUGAGGAGGAGCAGAUUGUCACUGUUUGUUGUCUAGCUGGUGUCAUUCACAUCCCUAUUACUCAGUGUAGGAGCAGCAUAACAUUUGUCAUUGUAAAUAGAUGUCCAGAGCAAAUAAAUCAGUUGUAAGACUUUUGCUGGCUUCACUCUGCUUGCUCCACUUCCUUUACAUGGUCUCUUUAUCCUUUGCUAAGUCCGAUCAGUCUGUGCUGGAUCUUGUAAGUGGGUUUGAUACAGGAGCUGAGGCAGCAGUUCUACCAGGAAGUCCCAGAGCUUAUUCUUCCAUUUAAUCUACGACUCAGAGCACCAGAGAUUAAGGUUGAGCAAGGCAGCAGGGAGACUUUUCAGACGUUUUUCCCGCUCUGUCCCUCAUGGCCAUUGUCAUACUGACUGUCAUUCCCCACUUGUUGAUGGGAACAGACUUUAGCAGGACCUAUUGCAUUUGGACAAAGUAAAGGCUUUAAACUAAAAGAGGGUAGAUUAAGACUAGCUAUAAAGAAGAAUUUUUUUGCAAUGAGGGUGGUAAAACUCUGGCACAGGUUGCCCAGAGAGAGGUGGUAGAUGCCCCAUCCCUGGAAACAUUCCAGGCCAGGCUGGAUGGGGCUCUGAGCAACCUGAUCUAGUUGAAGAUAUCCCUGCUCAUUGCAGGGGUGUUGGACUAGAUAAUCUUUGCAGGUCCUUUCCAACCCAAACCAUUCUAUGAUCUAUGAUUCUUGGGGCCGAGCCAGGCUGUGACAGGGACAAGCCAAGUCACGGAGCAGGAGAACAGCUCAGGCUGGGAGGAAAGACCUGGGAUGGUAUCGGUCUGGAUAGGUAAAUUUUUUUCCUUCUGGAACAGGGGCUUUGGCUUCCAGACAUUUUGGCUCUCUCCCCACCAAGUUACAUCUUCCCAGGUGCUCUAGAGUAACAAGUCGUUCAUGGGAAGGAAUGUGUUACUGCACAAAUUGCAUCUGCCCUUCUGGGUACUGCAAGGCUCUGCACAGUGACUGAGCUAUGCCAGGGUAAAUAUUGGUAAGAAAACGAGGUGAACAGCUUUAGGAUGCUGGCAACAAGGAGUCGAAAGUGUACGGUAGAGUGGGAGAAGACAUCGGUUGUGCUGACAUGUAUUCAAAGUUGUUGGGGGAAAUAGAGCUGGAGUUGUCAUUUGGGUAUCCGGAGAUAUAAAAUCAAAAGAUGGUGGUGGGGAGCUGACGAAGUUGAGGUAAAAGGAUACAUGGCUAUGAAUCAGGAAGCGUCAAAGGUAUUUCCUGGAACAAAAUGACUUUGUUUUAAGUCUUCUUGCUGCCUGCAUCAUCCGUGUCCCUAUGAAGAAGAAUACAGCACUUCUUGUGAAGCAUUGAUGAAGAGGUCCAGGCUGAUUCACGGAACCUAUAACGCACUGCAUUUUGAAAAGAUUUCACACCUUCACCAUCACUAGAAAGAUGUGAGCCAUGUUGACCCUUCACUUCAGCCACAGAAAAGCAGAAACAGGAAAUCAACUCAAGUGGGACUGAUUCCAAACACCGACCAGUUUUGUCCUACCUCCAAUUUUGCCUUGACCUUUCCUGACUAAUGUAAAAGGAGGCUAGCUACGUGGAGAGGUUCUGGCAAGAGCUGUGGAAAGAAGGAGCCUGCGAGAUGCCUGUGUUUGCUCCCACUGGAGACAAAUGGCUCUCCUGAUAAUGUUAUCUCUGGGGACUGACCUUAAACUGGCAAGUUCACUCCAUUUAACAUAUCUGCUGGGUUAAAAAGCAGUUUGAGCAUGAUCCCAGGAUAUGUCAGGUGCCUGGGACAGUCUCUUGACGUCAGUGGGGGCGGGAGGGUUUCCGUGUCCCGAAUGUGUGUGGGAAGAACAACUGCAGUGUUUAUCCAGAACAUGCCCAUUGGCAGCACCACUGGGAAACUGCUGCCGAGUCUCUCCAAGGCAGAGAAAAAAAACAGGUACUUUGAACUCCAAUAAGGAAAUUACCCUUUCAAAGAUCCCUUUCUUAAUUUAGAAUUUAGCUUUUCUCUGCCCCUGUCCUGGCCUCAUUAGAGUAGGUUUUUUGGUGGUGAACAGUGGUGUGAAGCUGGAACCCGAAUGGUGACUCCCGCUCCCUUUCUGCUGUGAAGCUUUUUAAUACAUUACAGUGAUGUUUCUCAGGAAAAAAAGGCAAACAAAGAAAUUGAUGUGUAUGUUUUGACAAGGGAAAUCAGGAAAGAAUAAACAUUUUCUAACUGCUAUUUUUUGCCAUGUGCAUAAAUAUUUAUAAUUGAACCCUGCAUCCAGGAGCUGUUCACAUGAUCAAAUAACUAGCUAUAAAUGCAAUAUAGCAGACUAUGUAAAAACGCUUUUGGUGAAGGGUUGUGUGCCUUCCAUUCUCCUCUCAACCUAACUUGUAGCGAAUGCUCCUCACUCCUGCCAAGAAAGAUGACAGUUUCUCUGAAUCAGGAAUGUUCAUUUCAUUUUAGGGGUUAUACGUGUUCUGCUGGCCCAUCUACUGCCUCAAAAGCAAUAAAACGCCAAUCAGAAAGAAGUAUUUGUCAUUAAGUAAAUGGUAAUACAGUGAUUUGAAUUUGGAUAUUUAAAAUGAAUCAUAUAACUUUAUUUCAUUAAAUGAAAGAGUUUGCCCAGCAACUGUCUUUGCAUAAGAAUUCACAUUUACCAUCACUUUUAUUUUUUCGCCUUCUUGUCUGCGAAAAUUUAAUUCAGAAGUGUAACUUUCUGACAAAGAGUUUUGCAACUGUGUCUGCCCUGGCUUCUAUUUUGGAUGCUAACUUGUACAGAAUAAAGGACACUAAAGAAAACUACUUGUCUUUUUUAUUUUUUUUUUUUUUUUCAUUUCUGUGGCAGAUUGAAAUCCUGGCAUGAACUUUGAGGGUAUAAUGACCCUUUAGGUCUAGGUUUGUUUUACCUACUCUUAGCCAUAUAAAAGCCAGGCAUUUGGGCUCAGCUAGCCUUCUGUGCUCUGUGUAGAGAGGGCAGUCCCAGUGGGGAAUUCAAGCAAACUUACUUGGAAAACUGGGUUGGGCCGGGGCUAGGCCUUAAGUUUUUGAUAAGUGAUGUUCCAUGAAACAAACCCAAUCCAGGUUUAGGAGCAAUGUGAGUGCAAGGGCUAUGGCCAUGUCCUGCACUGCUUGCCAGCUUGGAAGGUGCCAGGAGGAGGGGGUCUGAGUCCACCCUGACAGCAAUAGCACAGCCUCUGUGCAAGGGAAUCUUCAGUUUUCCUCUUGGCACAGUUUUCUAACACCUCCGUGUUGUCAAAACAAACAAAUUAAAGGCCAGGGUCUGUGCAUGAAAAAAGUAACUGUACAAAUGCAAUAAAGAUAAGCUCCCGAUUAGGAUGAAAGACAAGGUUGAAAAGAUUAUGGUCAUAGUGCAAUAGACAGGUUAUGUGUAUGUUUUUCUUAUGCAUCUUGGAGAUUUUAUCAAAUGGUGAUACAUCAUAUUAGAGCUGAUCUCAGAUGUGUUGUAGGUCGAAUGAACAUUGCACAUUUCUAAAACUUCUUUGGCAUGAUUCACCUCCCAGUGAAAAAACAAUCCUUCUUGACUUCCAUGGAAGCAGAAUCCAGUCCUUCCCAAUCUUAGAAAAAAAGAGGUGUAAACAGGUGUGCUUAUCCAAUUACUCCUGUAAUUAUGGGAUGGGCAUUCAGAACCUAAUGAACACAAGGGCAGUCAGCAGGGGUUUCAUAAUUGACUGUAAUGGUGGGUGGUUGGGAUUCUUGCUCUGGCCUUCCCCAAUGCAUGGUAACUACUGCCAUGGGAAACCACUUUGUUUCACUGAAUUUCACCCCUCUGCUGGUAAACAGUAGUUUGAAAGACCACCAAGAAUAGCAAUACUUGGCAGUGGUAGAGCUUUGCGGGGAUGAAGGGGGGUGGUCAGACUUUUGGUUGACUGAAAACAUGAUAGCAUCUUUCUAGCGUAAUCUUCUUCCCAGAAAUGUAUCAAGCUGAUUGGUGUUGACAAAUGACCAGUUCACAAAGCAUCUCACCCCACUACCUUCUGCCACUUUCUGUGAGGAAUAACACAACUCAGAAAUGGUGGGGAGAGGAAAGGGGAGGGAGAAGUGAGUGUGAGGAGACCAGUCUCUGAAACAGUAUCUGUUUCUAAAGGGCAUUUCUGAGAACUUUUGGGUUGGGAAUUUUUAAUUUUUCUGGUUGAUUAUUCAUUUCCCUCCACCUGGACCAAAAAAAGGGAAAAAAAAAAGCAUUGUAAGGAUCUCUGGGAGGGUGAAUAGCAGGACAGCUCUUACUGAACUCCAGAGCAUUUGCCCCUGCCUCCCCCAGCUGGAGAGCCCAACAGCUGUCUUCAUAAAUACUGUCACUCAGGAUUUGAAUAGUUUUACAUAAUCUGGACUGGAGUGGGGAAUCCAAGCUUUUUGCUGGUCAAGUGGCAGGUGGGGAAUUUAAGCUUUUAUAAUAGGUCCACAAUUGCUGCUCCCACAGGGAUUUUCUUUUACUGCCUAUUGAUUUAUUAUAAGCUCCAAAGUAAAGACCCCAGGAUUAAAGUGGGGGUGGAGGGUGAUAUAUUCUGAAGGUCAGAGGGGUAAAGAUGUAGAGGAAAUCUGGGCCUAUCCUGCUGCUGUGGCAGUGGCCCAGACGGGUGGCCUGUGUGCCCUGUUUGUGACCCCUGUGCUGAGGAGGAGAAGCAUUUAGACUGCUGGGUCACCAGUUGACAUGAGAAAAGGAGAACCUGCUAUUUUAGUUGUGUGAUUUUGGUUUUAAUUCUCUUUUUCUUUUUUGAUAUAGAAAUACUUGCCUAGAUCCUUGUGUUUUCUCAUCUCUGACCAUAGUCCAUGCUUUAGCCAUGACUGUGUCACCUGAGAGCUGAUUUUUCCAGGACAGCCCAGAUGCUCUCUGCUGGUGUGAACUGCUGUGGCUUCCCUGAUAUCCCACAGACUUGCAUUUAUUUAGCCCGGCUGAGGGCCUAGCACAUACCUAGUGGCAAUGUCUGAGAUAAAUCACGAUUUAGGACAUGUAGAUCUAAGAGAACUUCAAAGGAAGCAUAGAGCACAUUGUUUUUUAAUUAUACAGAGGCAGUGUAGAGCAGGAUUUUCUGAAUAAUAGCUCACUG